rnacentral:misc_RNA from 1 species
UCUCCGUUGGUGAACCAGCGGAGGGAUCACUACCGAGUUUACAACUCCCAAACCCCUGUGAACAUACCAUUUGUUGCCUCGGCGGUGCCUGCUUCGGCAGCCCGCCAGAGGACCCAAACCCUUGAUUUUAUACAGUAUCUUCUGAGUAAAUGAUUAAAUAAAUCAAAACUUUCAACAACGGAUCUCUUGGUUCUG